UCCCCCCCCCCCCAUCUCCCCGCCCCCCCCCCCCAAGUCUUUGGCAUCAUUAUCCUCAUCACUAAAUCCUACAGAGUACAGGGCAGAAAACGGUGCACAC
rfam:Erinaceus europaeus unplaced genomic scaffold scaffold00036, whole genome shotgun sequence